GGGUUGUCUGACAGUAGAAGACAAAAGAAACAUGAGAUUAUUUUCUUAUUAAGAGUUUUCUGUUUUCUUCCAAAUUUCAUGAGCAAUACACAUGCAAGAUGAAGUUUGAAUCUAAUUAAUAUUUAAUGUGCAAACCAGUAACAAGUCAGAAUCAAGCCUUCUGAAUAAUAAGGAAAUUUUUUGUAUGGAGUAAAAAAAAAACCAACAAAAUAUUGACAUCUAGUGAGCAAUUAAGUUUUGCAUGAAGAUAGGGGGCUGCAAAUGUUAAUAAUAUAUUCAAAUAUUGUAUAUAAAAAGUAUGUCCACUACUACAAUAGCAAAUUUGAUCACUUGGUGGGCUCAAAGUUUUGUAAGGUUUUGAUCUUUAAUUUUAAAAUUAUUUGUAUAUCUAGUUUAUUUUACAGAGAAAAGGUAUCAAGUACAUAAUUUGUGAAUUGUGUUUGUUUUGGCUGGGAUAGAGUUAAUUUAAUUGAGGACAUGCAUACAUAUUUUGAAAAAUUUUCAAGUCAGACUUUUCUCUCUUGCCCCUCAAAGAAAUUCCAUAAAACAAACUCCUCCAAAUAUUUGGUAAAGAAUUUAUUAGAGUAAGAUUUUUUUAUGUUUCAAUUGCCUUAAAAAAUAUGAAUGUAGAUUUUCAGACCUUAGGUUCGGAAACAAGAAUAACCUCCUCCUUGCGAAGUUCCAAGAUACUACUAUUAUUUAGAGUGCUCUUUUGUUACUAUAUGUUAAUUCAGGAAUACAAGUGUCCGUGUUCUCACUUGCUGAUCUUGUUGCCAUAUAAAAAAUAAUAAAUAAUAAAUAACACCUGGGUGUAAAAAGUACAGAUGUUUCUUGGAAUUCUGCUGCAUGGCAGCUAAGCAGCAUAUGAUUUUUUAACAUUAAUGGAACUAGAUAAGUAACAACAGUAACAGAUUGUUCCAAAUUAUUGAUUUUUUCCCCCUUUUCUUCUGCUUUCAAUAAAACAAAAGACAUUUAGGAGCAGCUGGAUUACAUUGGCUUGUUAUUAGUAACACCUCUGCUAAAGAGCAUGAUGUGGAUCUUUUUUGACAUCCUGAAUUAUUUAAAUUUCCAGGUUUAGGAUGUAGUUUUUCAUAGACUUCUGUAUCUUUGUACUAACUUUUCAAAUGAAUUCUAACACUGCUUUCAUUCUGUCAUGCUACACGGGUAGCAUUUUAAAAUAUUUAAAGAUCUAAAUAUCCCUUUUCACUUCUUUAUCCAAAAUUCACAUCUUUGUGGAGAAUGCUAGCUACUCCAGAUACGUCCACAAUGUAAAUUGCUCUGAAUUCCUGUCAAGGAGAUAAGUUUAGCACUAAGAUCUAGUUCAUGCAAGGAUGCUAAGUUUCAUCAUUAUAAAAACCUGAAAAUAAUUUGUACAGCAUUGGACAGCACUCUGAAUGGUUGCAAGCUCAGGACAAAGCAGAAAAAAAAAUGUUUUUGAAAAAAAAACCAAACCUCUACUCUUUUUUUUUUACUAAACACAGAAUGUUUGAUUGGCAGGACACAAUGUUCCUUUCAUUUAGUCCUCUGCAGUGUAGCUCUUGCCAGCCACGUUUCACUGCUGACCAGUAUUUUUUCCUUACUUUUUUUAAACUGAUACAGAAUUAGCCCUAAAAAAAUUAGUGACUUUGAGAGGAAGUGAUUCUUAGAUGCUGGUUUCAAAGAGCAGACCUUUGUCCCUUAGAAAAUUUUCUGUCCAUUGAUUAAAGCACAGUAACUCAAUAAUGUAGUAAGUUUAGGAGGACAUCUGCUCUUCUCUUUAUAGUCUUAACAUGAAAAUAUCCACAGACAGGUAUUUUAAAUGGUCCAAGAAAUGCUACAGCUUCAGGAUGAAGCUGAAUGGAACUUGUAAGAUAUAUUGAUUCUAAGAGCUGUAGGUGUAGAUACCAUAGGAAGAGAUAAUGAAAGUAUUUCUAAGGAAAUGAAAGAAAUAAUAGAGACAAAACUGUAGAUUACUACGCUAAACUCGGCUAUUUUAACAGCAAAAUCAUGUUGUUGUCCUCCAAGAAAAGGAAUAAAAAGAAUUACUCCAGUCUUAUAAUUCAACUGGCUAACACUUCAGAAGUAACUUGGACAUUAAAAGUCAGUGUUGGAGACACUGAAGUACUACCUUAUUGGACUUGAGGCAGAAUCAGGAUCCCGUGCCAUUACUGUUCCUAUUAUUGUCCCCAACUCAAUAUCUUCAUGCACCUCAAAAAGGCUUACGGACAUUUGUUUGGAAAGCUAAUAUAAACAGUGAUUUAUCUUAAAAAUGGUGCCUGAACUCUUUGAAGUUCAUAUCAAAGUCCCGAAGACAAGGACCAAGGGACUUCUGGAAGGGCAAUUUUUGAGUAGGAGAGUGGCAUCUCUACUUGUGAGAUCUUGAAGACAAGCAUCUGAAAAUGUUCUGACAAUGCAAGACAGGGGCAGAACUGAAGCUAGUUCCGGACCAAGAACAACACCUUCCAUACAUACACAUUGCUCAUGUGGCAGCCCUCUCUCACAUUGGAAACAGGAACAAAACCAUAUCAUUUGCAACUCAUAUCUGUGUUCUGGCACACAGAUCUCAUUUCACUCAAGUAGAUGAGAAUCUCACAGAGAAGGAAAAUCUGUGUCUCUCAUUAGUGAGUGAGCUGCUGGUUGCUUGCUGAAGAAAACAGUGUCCGCAUCUGUGGCUUUAACACUGCCAACGGCUGUCCCAACUGGGGAGGACUCAGGAAUGCGGAGAUGGAUGGUACCUGUCAAAGACAAAGAGCCAUUCAGGGCCCCCACAAGCUGGUACACGCGCAUGAAGUAACACUGUGUGACACAACAGCUGGCUUUGAACAUGACACCUCUUUGAAUAGUCUUCUUCAGUGUGUCCAGAGAGGAGUAAUACAGCAUUCCUGUCCUACACAACAAUAGAAAUAUGGCUGCCCUUGAAGUAUGCUGUAAAUUAUUCGGGCACUGUUUCCAUAUGAAGGGUCAUCAGCAUCAGUAGCUGUAACUUGGACCACAGAAGUACCUGAAACAUCCAAAGCCAACUUAGUUGCAUGCGACACUAUAUGGAGGUGUCAGAGCAUCAAUUUCCAUUCCAAAAGACACCAUAGAAAAUUUAAGCUCACACUGAUUGGAUUUUCCAAAUACAUUUGUGAUCUUCUAGUCAACAUUAGGUACAUUCUUCUUUAUUCCAGGUCUCCUUCUGCAUAAAUUGAAAAUAAAACUUCCCAAAUCCCACAAAUAUGAUUAAGAUUUAAUAAGAAAAUGUAAACAAUAGCUAUGUCUGAGCUGAAUUCUUAUUUUACCUAGCUACAAUAAUUUCAUGUAUUCAUAUCCUCUUUGGAGAAUAUGUUGUUUUUAGUGGAAUAAAUACCUUAAUUCCA